AUGUGUGUACCAAAGAAAAAGGGUGGAAUGGGAUUUAGAGACUUGCAUUGCUUCAGUUUGGCUCAUUUGGCAAAGCAGUGUUGGAGGUUGUUAUGUGAGCCUGAAUCAUUAUGUGCCAGAGUUUUGAGAGCCAAAUAUUUCGAUGGAGAUAUUCUUAACUGCAGCCUUAAGAAAGGGAGCUCUUAUACGUGGCAGAGUCUUUGGAGUGGUAUUCAGUCUUUCAAGUGA
rnacentral:rRNA from 1 species